GCCUCCGGAGCAUGACGUCACUCAAAAUGACCGUUGCUUCAAAGAUCAGCCGAUCACUGGAAAACAGUAAUUUAGAUAGCUGCUAAAAAACCAAACCAACAUGGAAGAGGGAACAUAUUUUGAUGAUGAGGCAAUAAAUCGGACAAAUCCAAAAUGUCUUUAUUGCUGUUUACAUGGACACAUGCAUAUUAAACCUGUAGUCAACUACUGUUGCUCACACAUUGG